rnacentral:rRNA from 1 species
UACGUAGGGGGCGAGCGUUGUCCGAAUUUACUGGGCGUAAAGCGCGCGUAGGCGGUCCUCUAAGUCCGAGGUGAAAGGUUCGGCGCUCAACGUGAACAGUGCCUUGGAGACUGGGGGACUUGAGUGUGGGAGGGGGCGGUGGAAUUCCCGGUGUAGCGGUGAAAUGCGCAGAUAUCAGGAGGAACACCGGUGGCGAAGGCGGGUCUCUGGGCAACAACUGACGCUGAGGAGCGAAAGCGUGGGGAGCGAACAGG